rnacentral:rRNA from 1 species
AUUGAACGCUGGCGGCAUGCCUUACACAUGCAAGUCGAACGGUAACAGGCCGCCAGGUGCUGACGAGUGGCGAACGGGUGAGUAAUGCAUCGGAACGUGCCCGGUCGUGGGGGAUAACUACUCGAAAGAGUAGCUAAUACCGCAUACGAUCUAUGGAUGAAAGCGGGGGACCGUAAGGCCUCGCGCGAUUGGAGCGGCCGAUGUCAGAUUAGGUAGUUGGUGGGGUAAAGGCUCACCAAGCCAACGAUCUGUAGCUGGUCUGAGAGGACGACCAGCCACACUGGGACUGAGACACGGCCCAGACUCCUACGGGAGGCAGCAGUGGGGAAUUUUGGACAAUGGGCGAAAGCCUGAUCCAGCAAUGCCGCGUGCAGGAAGAAGGCCUUCGGGUUGUAAACUGCUUUUGUACGGAACGAAACGGCUCUGGUUAAUACCCGGGGCUAAUGACGGUACCGUAAGAAUAAGCACCGGCUAACUACGUG